rnacentral:rRNA from 1 species
GGAUGCGAUGAUACCAGCACUAAAGCACCGGAUCCCAUCAAAACUCCGAAGUUAAGCGUGCUUGGGCGAGAGUAGUACAAGGAUUGGUGACCUCCUGGGAAGUCCUCGUGUUGCAUUCC